UGCCAGCUAGACAUGUACACCUUACAAUCAUUCCAUACACCAAAUAUAGUUGACCUAUUGCUUAAAGUGUAAGAAAAACAGACCAAAACACAAAAACUUAACAUAAGCAAUGAACCUUGAAAAUGAGGUCAAGGUCAAAUAAAACCUGCCAGACUGACAUGUACAUCGUAAAAUAUUUCCAUACACCAAAUAUAGUUGACCUAUUUCAUAUAGUAUUAAAAAAAAAACAAAACAGAAAAACUUUACUUUAACCGCUGAACCAUGAAAUUGAGGUCAAGGUCAGAUGACACCUACAUGUUGGACAUGUACACCUUACAAUCAUUCCAAACACCAAAUAUAGUAGACCUAUUGCUCAUAGUAUCUGAUAUAUGGACUUGACCACGAAAAUUUAACCUUGUUCACUGAUCCAUGAAAUGAGGUCAAGAUCAGAUGAAAACGGUCUGACAGGCAUGAGGACCUUGCAAGGUACGCACAUACUAAAUAUAGUUAUCCUAUUACUCAUAAUAAGAGAGAAAUUAACAUUACAAAAAAUCUUAACUUUUUUUUUCAAGUAGUCACUGAACUAUGAAAAUGAGGUCAAGGACAAAGGACAUAUGACAGACGGAAACUUCAUAACAUAAGGCAUCUAUAUACAAAGUAUGAAGCAUCCAGGUCUUCCACCUUCUAAAAUAUAAAGCUUUUAAGUAGUUAGUUAACACCGCCGCUGCCGGAUCACUAUCCCUAUGUCUAGCUUUCUGCGGCUCGACAAUAAUUGAUUGCCACUGAUUUUCAAACUCAUCAAAGACAUUGGUGAUAUUAACCUAUAAUAUAAAUUUCAUAAAAAUCUGGCAAGAAUUGUACACAUUAGAGUGCUCACAAUGCAAUUUUCCAUAUAAUUAAUAAUUCCAAGGGGCAUAACUCUUUAAAAAAUAAUCGAUCGUCACUGAUUUUCGAACUUGUCAAAGACAUUGCUGAUAUAAACCUAUGAUAUAAGUUACAUAAAAAUCUGACCAGAAUUGUACACAUGAGAGCGCUAAUGAUGCAAUUUUUCAUAUAAUUAAUGUUUCUAAGGGGCAUAACUCUUUUUAAAAGAAUUGAUCAGCACUGAUUUUCGAACUUGUCCAAGACAUUGCUAAUAUAAACUUAUGAUAUAAGUUUCAUAAUAAACUGUUAACACAGAGAUAAGUCUCGCCUAUCUGUUAUUUUGAUAAUGCAAAUGUUGAAAUUAAAAUAGCAAUACUUUAACAUGUAAGUUAUGCAAAUAUUCAAAGUCAAUGAACCAUGACUGAAAGUACAGGGCUAAACAAUCUCCAUGGAAAUGAGAUGUGCCAAUGCUAAUACAACUGCAAACCAAAUACCAUUGACUUUUCAUAAGUCGUUCCCUUUAAACAAACCUAAACACAAACAGUAACUUGUAAACUAAGCAAAUGACUGAGGGGUAAGGACCAAAUAUUCUCCAUGAAAAUGAGAUGUGCUAAUGCUUAUACAACUGUAUACCAUUUAUCAUUGACCUACCACUAACAGUUCCCCCUAAACUGACCUAAUCACAAACUAAUACAUGAAAACUAAGCAAAAGUUUCAAAGUCAAUAGACCAUAAAUGAGGGGGCGGGGCCAAAUAAUCUCCAUGGAAAUGAGAUAUGCCAAUGCUAUACAACUGCAUACCAAAUAUCAUUGACCUACCACUAGUGGUUCCCCAUAAACUGACCUAAUCACAAACUAAUACAUGUAAACUAAGCAAAGUUUCAAAGUCAAUAUACCUUGACUGAGGGGGCGGGGCCAAAUAAUCUCCAUGGUAAUGAGAUGUGCCAAUGCUAAUACAACUGCAUACCAAAUAUCAUUGACCUACCACUAGUGGUUCCCCAUAAACUAGACCUAAUCACAAACUAAUACAUUGUUGACGCCGCUGACGCUGCCGCCGACGGAAACAGCAUACCUAUGUCUCGCUUUUUGACUCCGUCAAGGCGAGACAAAAAUCUGGCAAGAAUUGUACAAAUGAGAGCACUAACGUUGCAAUUUUCCAUAUAAUUAAUGUUUCCAAGGGGCAUAACUCUUUUAAAAAUAAUUGUUCAGCACUGAUUUUCAAACUCGUCCAGACAUUGCUGAUAUAAACCUAUGAUAUAAGUUUCAUAAAAAUCUGGCAAGAAUUGUACGUGAGAGUGCUAACAAGACCGGACGGACAGAAGCCCGGUAUUUCCAUGUCCCCCGCAAUGCGUUGUGCAGGGGACAAAAAUAAAGCUGAAAGAAAUGUACAAAUUAGAAAGUAUGAUUGCUGUUAACAAUACAAAAUAACUGAAUUUGACAAUGUUUGGAAUGUUUUUGAAAAUCUGUUAUUUAAUACAUGCUAUUCACUAUUAACCAAUAAUUUAUUUCACAGAAUAUAUAUUAAUAUUCAUGUAAUGUUCUUGACCUGUGUUCCUGGCUGUUACAAAAGAAAUAUGUAUAGUGAAUUCCUUAAAUAUUGUUCAUCAUGAAUAUAUUUGAUUUAAAAAUAUAGAUAGGGAUGUGACUGGAUAAUUCCUCUUCUCUUUUUUUUUCCCUUUUAUUCUUCUUCAUUUUUCACUCCUUUACUAUCUGUUACUUAUAAUUAUUUAUUUACUUAUUUUUUUUAUUUUUUUUUUUUUUUUUUUUUUAACUUUUUUAUUUUUAUCUGUUCUAUAGGAAAUAUCUAUUAUUUUCAACUACAAUGUAUUUGUGAUAAUUAAAUUGUAUAACUUACAUGUAUCAUAUUGUAUUUAUGUCAUGUAUAUAUGCUUUAAUUGUUGGAAAAAAACAAUCAAUCAAAGGCAAUAACUCCUAUCAGGUUUUAAUUGACUUAUUUGACGAUCUUAUUUUGCCCUUAACAGUUUCUUUCUAUUAUACAUUUUAUAGUUUCUACAUAAAAUGCAAUAAAUGAGUAAAACACUUCUUUCAAGUGAAAAAACACCUAUAAGGGUCAAAUUUCUGCCAUGUUUGAAAUGUUUGUAGAUCUUACUGGUCUGGUAGUUUUUACUGUUUAAUUUCUCUCUAUCUUUUAUAGUUUCCCGUCCCUAGGAUUUUCAUGGAAUUCCAUCGAUGCCAUCGAUUUUUCAUGGAAUGCCAUGGAAAAAGGAUGGAAACGAUGUAAAAUUUGAUGAAAUGCCACGAAAUUCAUGGCAAAAAUUUUCCAUGGCAAAAAAUGCCAUCGUUUUCAUAUUUGCCAUGAAAGAAAUUCCAUGGAAAGGAUGAAAAUCUAUGGCAAUCGAUGGCAAAUAUUGGACUUUAACUUUUUGGGGGAUGGAAACGAUGGCAAAUUUGGACUUUGAAAUUUUUGAGGAUGGCAAACGAUGGAAAAGUAGCACUUAGAAUUUUUCUAAGAUGAAAACGAUGGCAAAUUGGACUCAGAAUAUUUUGAAGAAAAUCGACUUAGAAUAUUUUGAUGAUUUGAAACAUAAAAAGUUACUGAAAACAUUAUCAAAAAAAUUGUGCAUAUUAUAGGGUUAAUUGUCAAUAAGAUUUUUUGAAAACAAUAUCAAAUGGAAGACAUAAAUAGUUUUUUUAAAGUGUAAUUAACAUAUCUAUUUGCACCGACUAUUAAUCUUUGUGUGUAUGUUGGGGAAAAAGGGGGUUGCACACUGAAAUUCAAUAUUGAAAUAUCAAUUAUUAAUACGUGUUUAUUUGCUUUGUUAAUCUGCAAUAUGCACGAUUUGUUUUGCUAAACAAUGUUCCUAUACAAUGUUUACAAAAAUGCGAAGCAGUCCACAGCUUUUUAGAAAGCUCAAACUUGUUUUAUUCAUAUUUUCGCGGGAUUUGAACAGGAAGUUAGAUUGCCCAUGCGCAUUAUUUAAACCUGCACCUUUCCUGUUUUUAAAAAGAUAGAACAACAAAGGACGAAGUCGAGGAGAAACUUGCCGUUUAUCAAGUAUCAUUAUGGUAUGUAGAUAUUUCUAUGUGGCUAUCACGGUUCUUCAUAUGUAUGAAUUGCAUUUAGAAACUCCAAAUUGGUAUCAAUAUUACACAAUCAGAGAAAAAUAUAACGUCAACAUUGUAUCCCUGAUCUGAACACAUGGAAGGGCCAUAGUGAACAAUAUAUUAUCAUAUAUAAUUUCCUCCAAUUAUACUAUUUUUAAGAGCAUUUAAUGUUAGAAGCAUGUUCAUUUUCACUUUGGGUAAACGAGCUUAAAAAUUCAAAUAAGAAAAAAAAAGGGGGGGGGGGUACGCAAGCGUUUACAUUAGUCAUUACUGUGAUCAGGAAAAUUUCCUGACAUGUAUACUAAAAAUAUGUGUCUUCGUUUAGUUUAACUUUAAGGCUUCUUGACAUACAAGAAGAACUUUAUAAUGGAUUUACUAAGGUACUCAUAAAAGUUUAUUAAGACCACAUCCAAAAUUAUGUUUGUUUCCCCCUUAUACAACCCUACCUCUGGAAUUAGGUAGGUAUGUAGGACAUUUCUUUUUAUCAUAAAAAAACCCCAUCUGAUUCUGUAAAAAAAGAAUCAUCAAAUAAAUAGAGGUUUAACAUGAUAAGGAUAAAAAAGGGGCUGCAGUCUUUUAUGCCCCGAUCACAUAUGUGAAAGGGGCAUAUAGUUUUACCCUUGUCUGUCUGUCAGUAUGCACGUCUUUCCGUACAUCCUGUUCUUGAUCAAGUACUGUGUUUAGGUCUGUUUCUCAGAUACGAGACAUGGUGUAGCAUUGAUACUUGAUCAGUGGAUGGGUCUUGGGAUGUACUACAGGGUUCACUAAUCAUUUGGUCACUUUGACCUACAUUUUGCGCAUUAAUGACUCUGCUUAAAUUUUGCAUUUAGGUCCAUUUCCCAUAUGCUAGACAUGGUAAGGCAUUGAUAUUUGGUCAGUGGACAGGUCUUGGGAAGUAUUGAAUAUAAACCACUGUUACUAAGGUCACUCUAACCUAUAUUUUAUACUUAAAUGACUGUUGUUAGAUUUUGCUUUAAAAUCAAUAUGAUGAACAAUCUGGGCAUACCGUGUCUCAUAGACACACUCUCUAGUUUUUUUUGUUUUUUUUCUAUUUGUGUAUGUGUUUUGAUCAUUGACCGUUAGUCAUUAAGGAAUUAUAGGUUCAAUAUUCGGCCUGGGAAAUGAAAAAGGGGGAAAUUUAUGAUAAGCUUUAUUUUUAUUUUUUUUUAAAUUUGUGAUUUUUGCAGUCCACCAUUCUCUCGUGUGACUAAGGCAAUUGGCUUUCCAUAUAAGUUACUGAACAAGGGGGUGAAAGAAUCUUUUCUGGGAGUCUGGGAUUGAGCGAUUUAAUGUCCCAGAAUUUGGUAAAACCCUUAUCAGGAUUCAGGAUCAAUUAUUUCUUUUGUUCAGGAUUCAGAAAUCAAAUAAAUGCAGGAUUACCCAUAUUAUUUUCAAAAGUUUGGGAUAACACCCCUCCUUCCCAAUUCCCUAUGUGCUGCUGUUGUAUCAUGCUAAAGCUUUUAAUUGUUUUUGGUGAUAUUUAAUUUGUAUCUUGCAUAAACAAAUUAUCUUUGUGGUAGCAGAUAACAAUUAUUACGGUUUCACAAUUUUGUACACAGAUAAACAGUAAAAUUAUCACAUGUGUGCAAGUUCCAUUUUUUCAUGGAUUUCUAUAGAAGACUUAAAUAGCAAAAAAUUAGUAAUCUGCAAAAUAAAUAUGUUUUUAGAGCUUUAACUAAAUCUGCUCUAUUGUCUUGCCAGUACUACUAGUGUUACAACUGACCAUUUUAUUUUUUUUUAGGAACAGCUGUUCUUGAAAAUCAGUCGAGAGACAUUCUUCAAAAAGGGGACAACAUUUUUAUUCAGGGCAAUGUUUACAAAGGUCUUUGAAAGGGCAGCCUUCCAACAAAGGGCUUUCAAGGCCGGGUCUUGAGGACCAGGAAAAACUAUGUGCUCUUUAAAGCAUCAUACAAAAGAAAUGGAAAGUUGAGGACGCAUCUGUCCACCAGGUCAUCAACCAUCUGCUGAAGCCAAGUAUGCAACACAAGGCAAAAUAGACGACAGAUAGCAAAGAUGAACUUUGAAUAUUCCAAAAUGUUAUACUUUACAUUAAAUCAUUGUUAAUUUUAUUUUUAA